UGAACUUUUGCCUUAAACAUUUCUUGGUACAUAAGGUGCAAGCAAACCAAAACGCCAAACAAGCCAUCUGUUCCCAGCGGAAACAGGACUGAGCUGCUGCGACCCCUGAAAUGGUCUCCCUGCGACCAUGCGGGACACACCGAGCCUGUGCUGAACCGGACCGCGAUUGGACAGAGACUUUGGGACCUGAACUGCAAAUUACUGCUGCUUAACACAACUUUUAUAAAACUUGCUUAGCCGCACUCCCUAGUUCAGUGAGAAAGGGCCCCAGAGCUGGUGCAGACUGGAAAGAUAAGGGAGUUACAAGCAGUUUGCAUUCCUAUGCUUCACACUCCAGGAGGGAGGAUGUCAAGGCUUUGAAAUAAGGCCUGCUUGGGCGCCAGGACCCUGGGAAACAAAGCCUCCCCUCAGUGCUGAAACAGUGUUAAUUAGGGGGGGUCUGGAUUAUAUCCUCCUCGUCAGGACCUUGGAAGAUAACACCUACUGUCACUGCUGGGGCAGUGCUAAUUGCUGGAACAACACCUGUUUGUCAGGGCCCUGAGAAAGAAGGGCAGAACCCGAGGAAUCAACACAUUUGUCAGCAGAAACCGCAACAGUAAAGAUAAGGGAGAAAAGCAGCCUGCCUGGGAACAACGAUGAGACCCAAUAGGGAGCAGGAGACCCCAGACCCAAAAAUUACUAUUGGUCUGAACUACCGCGUGAGGGGUGGGAAACUUAAUUUGAAAAAGCUAUAAUUGCCCAGGGAUUUCUUUGUUCAGGGUCCCUCUUUGGAGGCACCCAACUCGAGCUGUAACUACUGCACGCGUGUCAUUCCAAACUUUUCAGCCGGAACCUAGGGUCGGACCCUGCUCGAGUUGUAAUUACUGCACACGCAUCGCUAAAAUUUACACCCAGGGUGAAGAGGACCAACGGGACGCCGCUGGAUCCACGGGUGGUGAGGCCAGCUGCUAUCAGUCGUGAGUUCAUGUUUCAUGCUACACUCGUGCUGUUUAUUUGGGUAUCUAAGAAGUGCUCCACUACAUAGAAGGAACUGGAAAUUCAUGUUGAACUGUCUGACACAUUCUUUUAGCACUGGUUCAGCUUUUUUUCCCAGUUCCUGUAUGAAGACAACUCUACUUGGAAUAUGGAAGAAUGGAAGGAGCUGGGGCGGAAAUAGAGAAAUUGGACUGGUGUAGAUAUACCCACACCAAUAAUGCAUCAGGAAGGGAUUUUAGGGAUGUCAAGGUUUUUUUCAUAGAACAACAUUUUUUCCCUUAAAAGAUGGAUCUACCAUCAUUUCUCAGCAUUGACUCUAUACAGACAGAUGAAAGCAUCCAGGAUGGAUCCAGGGGCUCUGGAAACCCCCUGAUGUACUGGGGACUCUGGGGUAUGAAGAAGUCGUUGAGUCACCAGUGAUCUCGGUGGAGCACAGAACAUUUACUAGCAGCAGAAAUAGAUGACAGUGUGGUGUUAUUGAUGUGUCUAAGAUACACAGUGAGCUGUCUGAGAUUUCACUGCAAGCCUGGUGUGAAACUGAAUGACUUGAAGAUUAGCAAAAAGGGACAAGGAACAUAUUCGGGUCCUCUCUGCAGGCAUUCAAUGUGAAUAAUAUAUCUGGAAACAGCCAAAGUUGAAAAAGAGGGAUGCCAGUUUGUGACUAAAUGUGGAAAGAAAACGUUAUCUUGUUAGAAAUAUGGAAUUAUUCAUGCUUUGCAAAUUGUACCCUGAGAAACCAGCCUCUGGAAGAACAAAUCAGAAAGAUGGUGGAUGGGGUGCAUCUGACCAGUGUUUCUGAGUUGUUUUUUGUUAUUCUUUGUUAAAGGCAGCACCUAGUCCCAAGAAGCUGACUGAAGGUAUCAUCUCCGGUAUGCUGAUGUUAGUUUUAAAUAAACCUUGGAAUAUUAAGAAAAUUCCAUAUGCUUUGAAUUACUUAUGUGUACCUUGAUGGACUGAUGAUCACAUAUUGUUACUUCCUAAUCAGAUGGCACCAAAUAGUGAUAACUGAGAUAUUAAAAAGAGACUAAACAAUUUCUUGGUUCUGUUCAGCUAAAGUGUGGGGAUGAGUAUUUUUGGCAUGUAUUGCUGGUUGAGAUAGACAGCACCACAAGCCUUUCUCCUGACUAUUUCUGGGUAUUGGUUUAUGUGUUAUAAUACCAUCUUAGCUUUUAGUGGCUGGGGUAAGAAAAUUAGUGAUUGCUGCCCCAUAACACUUAGAUGCUUUUUUACCUCACAUGUUAAAGGUAUUUACCAUGAAAGUUACAGAAUUUAGGAUUCUAGUCAGAACACCAUAUAUCGUGAAAAUAGAAAACAUGAUAUGUUUUAUCUGUUGCUUUCAGAGAGUGGAUUCAUUACUGCAGGACUUACCCAUUAAAAGAACUAAUAUUCAGUAGAAAGUGGAAACUACUUUUAGAUAAGAUUUGCACUUCCUGCUCCAUAAUAUUUAACAAUUUUCCCUUUUCUCAUUGUAUUAUUUCGAUGUGAAGUGCUCCUGUGGUUGGCGACAUGAUUCCACAGCUGCAGAGCACAAUCUAAGAGGGGACUGCUGCAGCCUCAUGGUCCAUUGCCCUUUUUUUGUGCAGGGGCACAGAGAACAAUGAGCUGAGCUAGUUACUAGUCACUCUUUUCUAGGAUGGAAAUUGGUUCUUUGUGCAUAUUUACUAACACUGGCAUAAGGGAAAUGAGAGGGUGGAAAGGCAGAUCCAAGACAGCCUAAAUUUUGAUUGGAUCAUUUUGCUGUAGAAUUUCUCAGUCAGUUUAUUUUUGUCUGUAUUUCAAAAUCCUUCAAAAUCUUUACUCAUCUUCAAAGGUGAAAGUGCUAAUUCCAGCUUUUUUUCCAUGUGUUUCAAUGUCUAGGCUAAAAGUCAAACUGUGCUGACUUUUGGAGUAGCAAGCUGUUUAAUUUUCUGCAAACAAAGGACAAAAUGUUGCAUCAGCCUUAAUCUGUGGUAGGUCAAAAAUAAGGAAGACAACCUAACAAGAAAAUGUGAAGAAAAUCCCUGUAGCGGACAUUUUAUGUAGGAAUGUCUGUGGUAUGGUAAUUGCCUAGGAUUUGCUCAGCUUUUUGAGCAUGUCUUCACACCUAUAUUUAUGUUUGUGCUGGCUUUAAAGCCAGCUUUGGUAAAUAAGCGUUAAGACACAACAAUGACAUCAGUUUAAACUCCCCUAGUAGGUUAACAUUUUCAGCUACUCUGAGCAAAAAAUAGCUGUAUUUGCUGUUGGCUUCAUGGCUCAGUUGUUUGGAAUUGCAACACAUACACGACAGAGUCAUGGAAGUCUUAGGGCUACGCAGCCUGCACAAAGAGCCGUGAUGCAUUUUGAAGAUUUUUUCUUUUUUUGUAUCUCCACUGAAAGACAGAAUGCAGUGGGUUUCAAGGUCCUAGAGGUUGAGAAUUCAGUACCUUUAAUUGGCAGUAAGCUCAUUUAAAUGCCCAUUGGGGAGUGCUGCAAAAUCUCUAUUUCUAGGUCUGCUCUAUUCUUUGCAAUUCAAAUAGCAUGCAGCUGAAUGUUCAGAUGGGAGUCUAUGAGGCACAAGAGGUGCUGAUAAUUUUAAAUAAAUCUCAAAGUAUCCCCAAAGGAAGAAAAAAUUAUCUCUAUCUUUUUAUUCUCAUCAUCUGACAAACUUUUCAUAGUUCAUCCUUAGGAUGCUGGCAGCUUCAUGAUUCUGCAUGGAGAAGGCAAAAAAAGCAUUAGAGCUUCCCUUUACCCCUUUCUUCUCAUGCAGCUCUGAAAAGUUGAUUCACCUGUUUUCCAGAUCACUAAACAUAUUAUUUAGGAAGAGAAAGACAGAGAAGGGGUGUAGAAGAGAGGGAUAAAUCCAAUCAAUUCCUCAGUUGAGUGAAUGGAAGCUUCUAAAGAAGCAUGUUCUAGGUGAAGUGAAAUUGCUAACAUCCAGUGUUCCCAGUUCUAUGAGUAACAUAUUAAGGGAAGUUGUUUCCAGCUUUUUGAGGUGGACAAGUCUAUUUGAAACAAAUUAUUGGUUCCCUUCCAUUGUAUACUUUGAUAUGAUAGGCUGAAUGUCCAGUUUGCAGUACAGGCUUAAACUCCACUUUCUUGGAUUUCUAAUAUUUAUUUAAUUCUCUUAAUUAGCAUAUUUUUGGAAAGUAAAAUAUUUGGAAGCCAUUGACAUGGAUUGUGUUUAACUUGAAUUUCAUUAAAAUGAGGGUAAUUUGGAUUGGGAUGUGCAUAUCAGAGAGAGGAAGACAUCACUAAUAAAAAGAAAGCAGCUGCCUGGAGUCUGGAACAUACUAUCUGCUUAAUAUCACUUAGCACUCAGUUGUUCAGAGUAUGAAGUUAGCACAAACAACAUAUAAAACCAGAACAAAAAUGUUUAAAUAGCCAAGCUAUAGAAUCACUCGGGUUGGAAUUUGGCUUGAGCACAGAAUUUAUCCAGUUAUUUCUGCAAAAAUAAAAUAUGUAUUUGAACCUGGGAGUCCUGUUUUGUAAAGAUUUCCUCAUUGUUUUCUGCAAAAAUAAACUCCUGUGUAAAG